rnacentral:tmRNA from 1 species
GGGGGUGUAAUGGUUUCGACGGGGAUUUUGAAAGUACGGACAGCCAUCCGCAGACGGUGACUGCGAGCCGGAUCGUUUACGAUACACGGCUGACAAAACCGAAACCUUAAAAAGAAACGACAAUAAUAAAUUAGCUUACGCCGCUUAAUUAAGGCGGCCGUCGGCCCGGAGUCUCCCGCAGUUCCGGUAACCGGCGUCGACUAUGCGGGGAACUUUUUCGCCUAAGCUUUGCCGCGAAAAAAGAACCCAUGAAGCUACUGAGACCCGGCGCGUGUUGGUUUGCGCCCGGUUGAGGGAAUGCCUAAUAACCAACUGUGAUGGGAGAAGUCUUUACCGAUAGGUUUCCGGACGGGGGUUCGACUCCCCCCACCUCCAUUA